GCAAGUCGAGCGAAUCUGAGGGAGCUUGCUCCCAAGAUUAGCGGCGGACGGGUGAGUAACACGUGGGUAACCUGCCUGUAAGAUUGGGAUAACUCCGGGAAACCGGAGCUAAUACCGGAUAAUAAUUUGAACCGCAUGGUUCAAAUUUGAAAGAUGGCUUCGGCUAUCACUUACAGAUGGACCCGCGGCGCAUUAGCUAGUUGGUGAGGUAACGGCUCACCAAGGCAACGAUGCGUAGCCGACCUGAGAGGGUGAUCGGCCACACUGGGACUGAGACACGGCCCAGACUCCUACGGGAGGCAGCAGUAGGGAAUCUUCCGCAAUGGACGAAAGUCUGACGGAGCAACGCCGCGUGAACGAUGAAGGCCUUCGGGUCGUAAAGUUCUGUUGUUAGGGAAGAACAAGUGCUAGAGUAACUGCUAGCACCUUGACGGUACCUAACCAGAAAGCCACGGCUAACUACGUGCCAGCAGCCGCGGUAAUACGUAGGUGGCAAGCGUUGUCCGGAAUUAUUGGGCGUAAAGCGCGCGCAGGCGGUUUCUUAAGUCUGAUGUGAAAGCCCACGGCUCAACCGUGGAGGGUCAUUGGAAACUGGGGAACUUGAGUGCAGAAGAGGAGAGUGGAAUUCCACGUGUAGCGGUGAAAUGCGUAGAGAUGUGGAGGAACACCAGUGGCGAAGGCGACUCUCUGGUCUGUAACUGACGCUGAAGCGCGAAAGC
rnacentral:rRNA from 1 species